CAUGCAGAGGGUGCCCUUUUUGCUUCUGAAACCUGCAUCACCUCUCUGAUGAACUGAUCUGUUUACACAGACUGGCUAGGAUGAGUAGGUCAAGCUCUCUGUUUAUAGACUGAAAAUUAUUUUGCCUUGAGCUGCCCAAGCAAAAGACUGGAGGCUGAACUGAUUUCCUUCGAAGGACAACUUCUGUGAGUUUUGAGAAUGUCCAUGUGGCUGUUCACAUGAUGCCAGGGAGAAACUUUCUGCCACCCAAGGAAGAAAUGCCUUCUUCCAGAUCCUCGCUCAUCUGCCACAGACAUACUGGUUAGCCAAGGGAGAAAAGGGCAAAGCAACAUGUUCAAGUCAAGGUCAGAGAACUUGGUAUGAUCUAAUUGCAGGUAGUGAUGAAUAUCAUUGAAUAUAAACAAAUGGCUUAAUCAGUACAGCAUUAUACUUACCUAAUAAGGAAAAAUUCCUGUUAGUUUUUACAUCCAAUGGAAAACAACCAAGUUUUAGGAAAGAAAAUGAAACAGUUUUUCUUGAAGAAUUAUGAAGGGCUAAAAGCACCAAACAGUUUACUGGGGAAAGAAAAAAAAAAAAAGAUAAUGAUAUGUCUUAACAUCACUUAAGACCUGCCCUGAAAGUUGGUUGUUCAUGUCACUACUUAGAAUCAUAUAAUGAGAUAGUCCAAACUCCAUGCAAAGUAAGAUUUGCAUCAGUGUGGGAAGCUACUCAACCACCUCCCAGGGAGGCUGCCAGAAGCAGUAGAAACAGUACCCACGUGCCAGGAAAAUCUCAGCCCAGACCUCUCCUGAACUCACAGCUCUCUGCACACAUCCACUAACUCAUCUGUUAUGCUUACUGCUAGUUUGCUAGUUCAGUUUGAGAUGAAGACUAUGCAUUGUGUCCUUAGAAAUUCUGCCUUUACCCAAAAGAGAUUCAACAGUAUAGCCUGAAAUAUCUGAAACUAGCACUAAGUGCAGAAUAUUUCAUGCAAUGGUAGGAGAAAAGCUUUGACAGUACAGAUACACAUACAGUUACAUAUACUGACUGGGGUAUAAGUGCAGAAUGAUAACUGUUUUAUACACUGUGAGUCUGUAGCAUUACCUCAAUUGAUGGUAGCCUUGUGGCUGUCACUGCAAAAAUUUAGCCUUCAGAUAGACCUCUGUUGACUUUUUUACUGAAAAUUAAAUAUUUGGCUAAAGAUUAAACAAAAGGAAAAGGAAGCAUAAAAAUGUAUUAAACUCCAAACAAAAUCAUGGCAACAACAGGAAUUGCAGAAACAACAUCGGUUUAGAGCUGAGCUAAUCAAAGCACGUGGAUUAGCCUGACCUGUGAACAGCUGAGCUUCCACUCUAGAGGCAGUGUCUCACUCAGAUAUUGGCAUUAGAAAUUGCAGAAGUCCUGCUAUCAGAUGUGAAAGGCCCUCUACUCCUACCUCUGUGGGAUCAAGGAUGUUAACACUUAAGGGAAUGAACCUCUGGAGUGAUUGCAUUUUGGUCUUUACCUGAAGCAGAGUGAUGAGAAGAUGAGAGGUUCUCCUUGAGUUGCGAUCUGCUGUAUUCCUACUGCCUCCAGCGAUGCAAAGCAGCCACUUGGUGGCAGGGAAGGGAGAUGUUGUUGGAAACAUCCAUCUCCAGAGGAGAGCUUUCUUCCUUCUUCCCAGAAGAGGCAAUAUAGAGUUAUCAUCAUGUUUUGCAAAUGCCACGAAUACAUACAGAUCAUAAUCUUUCACUGGCUGAUGAUUAAACUGCAUUUUGGACACAAACAACCAGGGCCAACAUCUCUCAAAAUAGAAUGGGGACCAAUAAAAGUAAUUUAAAUAUAAUGGGGCCAUAUUUUUUUUAGUGAAAAGAGAGUUACACAAGAUUUCUCCUGCAAGAGUUAUGUUGUGAUGUAAAAUACAACUUUGAUCAGAUGCUGGAGCUAUGUUUUCUACCUGUGUGACCUUUUUCUUGCAUGACAGAGGUAAGGGAAAUCAGUAGAGAAAGAAGGAAAAUGAGUCACUAGUGCAGAAAGAAGCUCAAUUGUCAGCUGCAUCAAACUGGUUUUGAGAAGAAGACAAAACAACAGCUACUCCCGGAGAUCUAAAGGUGUAAACAACAGUAAAAUCAAAAGUACACUCAUAUAUAUCUCUUGGAAAUAUCACAUGCGCAGUAGAUAACGGCAGAAUGAGGUAUUACCUGCUCUGUGUGUUGAUGGAAACAUUCAUCUGCAAGAACCGAUGUCUUCCUGGUCUCUAAUUACAUUGAUUCUCUCGCAUGCAUAAAGUUGCAAUAUCCCUAAUUAUAUGAAUUAAUGUUUCCCCAUUGUUUCACAACUUCAGUGAGAGUACAACUCCUGAGAAUGAGAAACUGCAGGAAGAAAAUUGCAUACUUAAUUCAUCCCCCAAAUCAGAAUUGUGUUGAUAGAUACUGUUUUUCUGAUCUGCUCUGAAGUGCACAUUUGGUUAUCUUGUACAGUUUCAGAGAUCUAUGCUAUAAAAUCCCAGUUCAAAGACAGAGCCAUGACUGAAAGAUUUUGUAUUAACAUUUGUAGGUUUUUUUAGUAAUGCUUUUCUAUUCUGAAGAUAUGCACGCAGCAUGUAUGUCAGUAUGUUCAGUGUUUUACAGUCUGCAGACUCCCGUAAGUUUUUCCAUGGAAUUAUGGAUACCUGCAUAGACAGCUAAAACUUUCUAUUUGGGAAUGUAUUUCUCUGAGCUCCCUUUUGCAAAUCCUGUAGUACUCCUCUGGAGAUCUGAUGGAUCUUCAAAGGUUUUCACCUCAUGUUGAAAUUCAGGCCUCACCCUUUGUAAUAAAGUAACCUCAAAAGAUUUAGGUUGAAUUUAUUUAGGCAGAAGAACUUUGAAUAUAUUCCAGAUUUUUUUGUGUCUGAAGAUUUUCUGCAGAAAGAAUAAAAAGUCAACUCUUUUUAAAUCAGCUAAUGACAGUAGAGAAAAUUUUCUCUCUCCUUUCUUUACUACAAAUUGCCACAAAAAUUAAUUCUCUUCCAUUUGCAGAUCAUGCAAGGUUACAGAGCCUGAGUUACCGUAUCUUGCACGGAUGGCUUCCAGUCAUUUUAUUUUUAGAAACUAGAACUAGAGGAAUACACCAAAUUAGACAAAGUUUCCUCCCCUAUUUAAACUUCAUGAAAAGUGCUGGACAUGUAGAUCUUAGGUUAAGCUUUGAAAGGAUUAAGAAUUAAUCCAGGCCAUUCUCAGAUCACUUUUCAAAAAUAAGAAUGAGCAGAUAUGAGUGAAUUUUAUUCUAAACACUUAAAAUGAUACCAGUUUUAACCAAUGAAAGUGAUAUGAAAUGUUGUGAGGAACAGCACCAUUCUAAAUUCUAAUUCUUCAAAAAUUAUGUGUAUAUUGAAAAUGUAUGAAUGUAUUUUGUGUUUAUACAGUUUACUGACUUCUCUCUUAGGAGAUCAUGGCUUACAUAAGGUCAGGAAAAAGUUAUUAGGGAAAGAAAUAACGUGGCCUAAAAAGAUCAAAUCACUUGACCUGAUAGAACAUUUAUGCAGCUGAGACUAGAUUUCAGCUCUCCUAGGUGAUACUGCAUGCAUGCAUUAGUCAUACUGAGGCACCAUAAUGAGAUGAAACCAUGAAUGCUGAGCUGUGAGGAUGUGUGGUUAAUUCCUAAAAUCAACUUGGAUGAAAGAGCUGAUUUAUCACAGGAAUAUGAAUACUUUUUUCUUACAGGUGUAUGGUACCCGUCUUCAUUUUAUAGUUGCUCAGAGGAACAAAUUUACUAUAUUUUGAAUUCCAUCUGUUUUCUGAUGGCUAUAAAGCUGAUGUCUGUAGUGCAGAAUUGUUUGGCUCGAUGUAAUUUGAGUACCAGAAAAGCCCUUCUUGGUUCAUGGUUCCAAAUGCUUCACAUCUUUCAAACCUCUAACGACUUUCACGUGAUCCAUCUGGAUCUCCCACCACCAUCCCUGCAGGACAACUGCAUCACAGGAUCACUCUCACAGCCUGGAUGUCUGUGUAGGCAUGGCUGGCAUCUCCUUCUCACCACUUUUCCACUAACAAUAAUAAUAAAAUAAUAAUAAUAAUAAUAAUAAUAAAAGCCUUGGUAACUAGCUGGGGAGGAUAAUACAGAUCCUAACUGUCACCCCUCCUCCCAAAACAUGCAAACCAAAGCACCCAUUGAUCUGGGAGGAGCUCAUAAGGAAGCCAGAAACAAGCACAACAAAUCAUGAAAAACAUCUGCAAGUGACUUCAGCUAGAACACAUGAUUGGAAAGUAUUCUGGGUCCAAAAUAUCCUUGAGUUCAACUUUCACCAAAAUCCAAGGACCACCACCUCUGCUUCAGUGACUUGAAGCAUCCGGAGUUCACAGCUCAUGAACAUCUCAACAUGUGCAAUAAAGUCCUGCUAUCCUCUGUGUCCCUGAGGAUUUUCUGUGACAGAGGACCAGAAAUGUUGCCGGGAUAGUAGAUUUUGAAGUCUGGAUUGGUAGCAAAAGUAUUCACUGCGAUGGGAGUGGUGAUCGAGAAAACAGAACAAGUCCUUUGGUAUUUUUGUAACGUAUCAACAAAACUGGACUAACAGCAAUUUCUUUUGUUUACUCUGUUCAAAUUAAAAAAUGUCAGUCUCAGAAACAGUUGCCUGUAGCUGCUAUAAUGCAAACGCUGAAGCAGGAGAAGAGCGCAUUCCCCAAUUUGAUUUCAGUUAUUCCUUUCCAAAAAAACAUUUUUCUACAGAUUUGUGAGAAGUGCCAGAAAAAUGUAGAAGAACUUUAUUCCUGUGCUUAUUCAAGAUUAUAAAAUAUGAAAUAAAUAUAUGUAUGUGCAUACAUGUCUGUACAUAUAUGCACACAUUUAUGGAUUAUCAGGUACCCACGGUUGAUCUAUGAGCAUGGAUGUGUUCAUUUAAAUUCAGAAACAGUCAGUUAGCUUUGUCCAGACAGACCACAUGCAUCAAUGCAGAGCAGACCGAACUGAGAGCAUAUUCUAGCAAAUGAAGCCGCAAGCAACCAUAUGAUGAAAGAUCCCUCUGCUUUCAUUCUGUAUCAGUGCUGAUUAUGUUGCUUCAAAAUCUUUAACAUUAGGUAACAUGAUCAUGCCGAAGACAGUAUGAAAUGUAAUGAGGUCUUAAUCUACAUGGCAGGUUAAAAGCUAAGAGAGUUUCUAAGGAUAUAUGUGGUAUAAAUGGAGUGUAAGCUAAUGUUAUUUGAUAAGAUAGGAAGAGGCCCAGCUGAACUGAAAGCAUUUUCAUACAGGCUCUAGUCUUUGGGUAGAAGUGAAACUGUUAAAACUGAAAAGCAAUAAGGAAAGAAA
ensembl:lncRNA